UACGUAGGGAGCAAGCGUUGUCCGGAAUCAUUGGGCGUAAAGAGCGCGUAGGUGGCUUUAUAAGUCCGUUGUGAAAGUCAAAGGCUCAACCUUUGAAAGCCGAUGGAUACUGUGAAGCUAGAGUACGGAAGAGGCGAGUGGAAUUCCUGGUGUAGCGGUGGAAUGCGCAGAUAUCAGGAGGAACACCGGUGGCGAAGGCGGGUCUCUGGGCCGAUAUUGACGCUGAGGAGCGAAAAGCGUGGGGGAGCGAACAGG
rnacentral:rRNA from 1 species